rnacentral:tRNA from 1 species
GCCGCCUUCGUCUAGUGGCCUAGGACGCCAGGUUCUCAACCUGGAAAUCAUGGGUUCAAAUCCCAUAGGCGGCACAA